rnacentral:rRNA from 1 species
CACGUAGGGUGCGAGCGUUGUCCGGAAUUAUUGGGCGUAAAGAGCUCGUAGGCGGUGUGUCGCGUCGGCCGUGAAAACCUGCAGCUUAACUGUGGGCUUGCGGUCGAUACGGGCAUCACUGGAGUUCGGCAGGGGAGACUGGAAUUCCUGGUGUAGCGGUGAAAUGCGCAGAUAUCAGGAGGAACACCGGUGGCGAAGGCGAGUCUCUGGACAUUUCCUGACGCUGAGGCACGAAAGCCAGGGGAGCAAACGGG